rnacentral:misc_RNA from 1 species
CUUAUACACAAAAUAUGGACGAGCAAAAUGCUCUUACUCUUUUCUUGGAAUGGCAAAGGGAAGGAAACCCAUUUAGCGAAUUCACAAUUUCGAGUAUUCUUUGUGCUUGUGCUGCAAAAAACGAUGCUUUUGCGUGUAAGCAAUUGCAUGCAUUCGCUAUCAAGGCUGCAAUGGAUGCAAAUGGUUUCGUGGGCACUGCAUUGCUUGAUGUAUAUGCCAAAAGUGGUUUGAUACAGGAUGCCAAUAGUGUUUUUGAGGGGAUGUCAGAGAGGAGUGCUGUUACGUGGAGUUCAAUGAUGGCCGGCUAUGUACAAAAUGAGCUUUAUGAGCAGGCUCUGGUUUUUUUCACCAGAUCACAAGCAGUUGGGCUUGAGUACAACCAGUUUACUAUGUCUUCUGUUAUUUGCGCCUGCGCAGGUUUGGCAGCUUUUAUUGAAGGUAGACAGGCGCAUGCUGUUGUUUGCAAAACUGGGUUUCGUUCAAACAAUUUUGUGGCUUCCUCUAUUGUUGACAUGUACGCUAAAUGCGGUAGUGUUAAAGAGGCGUAUAUUGCAUUUUUGGAUGCUGAAGGGAAGAAUGUCGUUUUAUGGAAUGUGAUGAUUUCUGGGUUUGCUAAACAUUCUCACUCUUUGGAAGUGAUGAUUUUAUUUGAGAAAAUGCAGCAAAUAGGCAUGCGGCCAGAUGAGGUGACAUAUAUUUCUGUGUUAUCGGCAAGUAGUCACAUGGGUCUUGUUGACAUUGGACGGAGUUAUUUCAACCUUAUGACACGAGAGCAUAAUGUGUCACCAAAUGUCCUUCACUACUCAUGCCUGGUUGAUAUUCUUGGACGGGCAGGGCUAAUACAUGAAGCUUAUGAAUUAAUACAGAAUAUGCCUUUUGCUGCUACUGCAUCCAUGUGGGGAUCAGUUUUGGCAUCUUGCAAUAUUCAUGGGAAUCUUAAAUUAGCUGAAAUUGCAGCUAAGAACUUGUUUGAGAUGGAACCAGAUAACGCGGGUAACUAUGUUUUGCUGUCAAAUUUAUAUGCUGCUAAUAAGAACUGGAAGGAGGUUGCAAAAGCAAGGAAGCUUCUUAAAGAAAAUGAGGUGAAGAAGGAAACAGGCAAGAGUUGGAUUGAAAUUAAGGACAAAGUUCACAUAUUUAUGGUUGGAGAAAGAAACCAUCCUAGAAUUGCUGAUAUUUAUUUAGAGUUGGAUAACUUGCUGGAAGAGAUAAAGAAACUAGGUUAUAAGGCUGAGACAGACUAUGACCUUCAUGAUGUGGAUGAGAGCAGAAAACAAGAACUUUUAAGACACCACAGUGAGAAGCUAGCACUUACUUAUGGGCUGAUGUGCUUACCUCUGAAUGCACCUAUCAGGAUUAUGAAGAAUCUCCGGAUCUGUGGGGAUUGUCAUUCUUUUAUGAAGCUUGCAUCAAGCAUGACAGGGAGGGAAAUUAUUGUUAGGGAUGUAAACCGGUUUCAUCAUUUUAGGGAUGGAUGUUGUUCUUGUGGGGAGUUCUGGUGAUUUCUGGUUUACUAACUAAAAUUAUGGUGGUUGUUAAUUUAUACUGAAUAUUGGUGAUUCAUUCACCAUUGAUGCAAGUCCUUUGCGAACAAUAGUGUUCCAACAUAAACUUCAGUAAUCAUCAUUUUUUGUUCUUUGGAAUAGCAGCGAUAAAAUUUCUCAAUCAGAAGAAAAGGGAUACAUUAAGUUGAGAUGAAUCUUUGUUGUUGCAAGCUCAUGAUUAAUAUUUCGAACUUUAAUCUUUCCUGUACUUUUUUUUUUGUUAGGAAAUGCAAUUGGGAAGAAACUCUGACAUGUUUUUCAUGUUCGGAAUUCAGAUUGAGAGUAGGUUAAUUUGCCUUGCGGUAUGCCAGUUUAGCAGGGGUACUCAAAACCCAGGAGAUAAGAAGGCGAGAUGCAAAUCUAAGACGAUAUGGGGGAUGCUGGAUUUUUGUAAACAUACCAUUUGUUUUGUUUUCAUCUGGACAAAUGGCUGAAACUACAGACUGAAACUACCGAUAGUUUAGUUUAUCACAGAUUGGAAGUGGCAGCUAAAGACUGAAACUAUGGCUGUUGAAAUGGAAAAUCGGAUCACUGGAUUUUCUCCACAUGUUAAGUGACCUGCAUUCUCUAGCAACACUUGACUGGAGAGUUGAAGGACCGCACACAAUCACUCCCACAUCAAGGUAACCCCACAGCUUGGAUAUAGAUCCAAAGAUUUCUGCAGCAAGAGAAAGCAAUGAAACAUCAUCAUUUUAACCUUUGUUUGUUAGUGAUUUUUAUUAUCUCUCGUAUUUGAUCUUCCAUUCAUAUCUUAUUGAAAAGGAAUACCCAAUGCACGAAGCAUCUCUCACUUGUGGGCUCUGGAAAGGGUUGAUACAUGCAGCCUUUCUCUGCUUUAUAGAAAGGCUGCUUUUGUGGGUCAAACUGUAACCUCUGUUACAAAUGGAGUAACUUUUCCACUACAUCAAUGCCACCUUCUUCCGUUCAUAUCUUAUAAAUGAAAAUUU